rnacentral:rRNA from 2 species
GAGUUAUCUGANCCUUCGGGGAACGAUAACGGCGUCGAGCGGCGGACGGGUGAGUAAUGCCUAGGAAAUUGCCUUGAUGUGGGGGAUAACCAUUGGAAACGAUGGCUAAUACCGCAUGAUGCCUACGGGCCAAAGAGGGGGACCUUCGGGCCUCUCGCGUCAAGAUAUGCCUAGGUGGGAUUAGCUAGUUGGUGAGGUAAUGGCUCACCAAGGCGACGAUCCCUAGCUGGUCUGAGAGGAUGAUCAGCCACACUGGAACUGAGACACGGUCCAGACUCCUACGGGAGGCAGCAGUGGGGAAUAUUGCACAAUGGGCGCAAGCCUGAUGCAGCCAUGCCGCGUGUAUGAAGAAGGCCUUCGGGUUGUAAAGUACUUUCAGCAGUGAGGAAGGGGGUGUCGUUAAUAGCGGCAUNUCUUGACGUUAGCUGCAGAAGAAGCACCGGCUAACUCCGUGCCAGCAGCCGCGGUAAUACGGAGGGUGCGAGCGUUAAUCGGAAUUACUGGGCGUAAAGCGCAUGCAGGUGGUUUGUUAAGUCAGAUGUGAAAGCCCGGGGCUCAACCUCGGAACUGCAUUUGAAACUGGCAAACUAGAGUACUGUAGAGGGGGGUAGAAUUUCAGGUGUAGCGGUGAAANUGCGUAGAGAUCUGAAGGAAUACCAGUGGCGAAGGCGGCCCCCUGNNCAGAUACUGACACUCAGAUGCGAAAGCGUGGGGAGCAAACAGGAUUAGAUACCCUGNUAGNCCACGCCGUAAACGAUGUCUACUUGG